CUGUGGCCUGGUUCAAGUAAUCCAGGAUAGGCUGUAUCCAUUCUUGCUGGCCUAUUCUUGGUUACUUGCACUGGGAGGCAA
rfam:Phalacrocorax carbo contig130185, whole genome shotgun sequence.